rnacentral:lncRNA from 13 species
GAGCUUCUGAAGCAGUCCGGAAUUGUGCUUCUUCUCACACAGAGGAUGGGCCAACAUGGUGGACAAGGUUUCUUGUGGACGACAAACUGCCUUGUAAGGUUCAGGUUCACCGACCAGCUAUCCUCUCGAAGAGGAAACCAGACGCCAGCCUUAGAUGUGCGUUAGACCCAGUCAGUCGCCCGAUUGAGAGAUCAUGUGUAUCAGGAAGGUGAAGGAGAAUAAACUAUUCGACACCGCCCACCCUCACCUUCAUCACAGGUAGCAUCAACCAACUGUACUCGGUUGCAUGCUUCCUGGUCAACUACCAGAAUGGACCUCUGGUCAAAGGAGAAGUGAGGCCACAACCCCCUGGACAGCCACCUCGUACCCAUAGCCAGCCUGGGCAGCCACCCCGUACCCAUAACCAGCCUUGGCAGCUACCAUAUAUCCAUAGCCAGCCUGGGCAGCCAUCCCAUACCCAUAGCCAGCCUGGGCAGCUACCAUAUACCCAUAGCCAGCCUGGGCAGCUACCAUAUACCCAUAGCCAGCCUGGGCAGCCAUCCCAUACCCAUAGCCAUUCUGGGCAGCCAUCCCAUAUCCAUAGCCUGCCUGGGCAGCCAUCCCAUACCCACAGCCAGCCUGGGCACCCUGCACUGUCACUCAGAGCAUCUUGACGAGCUCCAAUGUCCUAGGUGCCUUUGAUGUUUGAUUGAAUCAAUUCCUUUUAUAAUUCCGUUUGAUAAGAUUAGCCUACUUUAUUCACAUUUAAAGGAGAAUGUUCCUAUUUCCGAAGGUAAACUACAUUUAAAGGAGAAUGUUCCUAUUUCCGAAGGUAAACUACAUUUAAAGGAGAAUGUUCCUAUUUCCGAAGGUAAACUACAUUUAAAGGAGAAUGUUCCUAUUUCUGAAGGUAAACUAAAACAUUUUUUUUAUGUGAACGGCAUGUUAUAGGAGGGUCCAGACAUUUUUUUUGUGGCUUGUUAGUGAGAAACUUAUCCCAACUGCGAUACUUUACCCGUUGUGCAGUAUCAGGGGACACACAAAAAAACAUGAACAAAUACACAUGAAUUCACAUUCAUAUACAUAAAUACACAUAAAUACACAUAAAUACACAUUAAUAUACAUUAAUACAGAUAAAUACACAUUAAUUCACAUUAAUAUACAUAAAUACACAUGAAUACACAUAAAUACACAUUAAUAUACAUAAAUACACAUUAAUACACAUAAAUACACAUUAAUUCACAUUAAUAUACAUAAAUACACAUUAAUACACGUAAAUACACAUGAAUUCACAUUAAUAUACAUAAAUACACAUUAAUACACGUAAAUACACAUGAAUUCACAUUAAUAUACAUAAAUACACAUUCAUUCACAUUAAUAUACAUAAAUACACAUUAAUACACGUAAAUACACAUGAAUUCACAUUAAUACACAUAAAUACACAUUAAUACACAUAAAUACACAUUAAGUGUUUGUCAUUCCUUUUAUCGACAACGUUCUAAUCCUUUUUGGUUCAGACAACAGUUUUCCCCAUGAUGCAGCUGUGCACGGCUGAGCGUGUCCCUAUAGUACACGGACACAUGGAAAUGUGUAAAUAGCAUAUAAUGUCGCGGCUAAAGUUUGGGAAUGACAAUUUCAUGUCUAAAGAGCUGCAUCACUAUGCUGAGUGUGUGUCCCUUUCUAAAAUGACCUAUUUUUUUUGCGUGCCAUGAAACUGCGCAAUGAGGAAGUGACUCAAACAAGUCAACCCCCUCCCCCAAAAGUGUCUGGACCCUUCUUUAACAUGACAUUUACAUAAAAAAAGAAAAUGAGAUUUACUUCAGAAUUAGGAAAAUUAUUUGAAUCAAUUCAUUAUAUUAUUUUUUGAUAGUUUCUUGUUUGAUUCUUAUUUGACAUGAUUCACUUUUAAGUCCUUUGACUGAACUCGUUGUGUUUAAAUAUAUAAUCUUUAUUCUUGUUGUGAUAAGUCAUUUCAUCCAGUAGAUUAAUCAAUACAAUGCUAUUGUUCUUGUCUUGAUACAUUUUCUCAAGACUCAUUAUAACAUAUAUGUUCAUAUUUAGGCAGGUCUUGGAGAUACCUUUGUAAUACACAAUUAAUAACUAAGUUACCAUUAAAGACUAUUUUUUAUUUUUUUAUUUUACCUUUAUUUAACCUGGCAAGUCAGUUAAGAACAAAUUCUUAUUGUCAAUGACGGCCUAGGAACAGUGGGUUAACUUCCUUAUUCAGGGGCACAUUCAGCAAGUUGUCAGCUUGGGGAUUCAAUCUUGCAACCUAACGGUUACAAGUCCAACGCUCUAACCACUAGGCUACCUGCCACCCCUGACUAGCUUUAAAGGCUAGUGUUUGCCGUAGGUAUCUGGUAUUUUAUUAGGAUUUUAUUAGGAUUCCCAUUAGCUGUUGCAAAAACAGCAGCUACUUUACAGAAAACAGACCGUUGGAUUCAGACAGCACAGCUAAUUAGUCACACACACACACACACACACACACACAUACACACACACGCAUUGAAUCAGCUAUACAGGCAACCUAUUCUCUAUACAGUGCACUAUGUUUUACCAGGGCUCCAUGCACUGCUUAGGGAACAGGGUGCCAUUUGAAAUGUAGCCUGUCUCAGUCUGAAGGGAUCUUUCCAGCAGAGUAUGUGAGCAGAGCGAGGAUUGGAGAAGUGGAGUGGAGUGGGGAUUGGAGCGAAACCGAGCGAGGAGCAUAGCAGAGUGGAGUGGAGCGAGGAGUGGAGUGGAGCAGAGGAGUAGAGUGGAGGGUAGCGAGGAGUGGACUGGAGCGAGGAGUGGAGUGGAGUAGAGGAGUAGAGUGGAGGGUAGCGCUGAGCGAGGAGCGUAGGAUAGCAGGGAGCGAGGAGCGUAGGGGAGCGGAGCGAGGAGCGUAGGGGAGCAGGGAGCGAGGUGCAGGGAGCGAGGAGCGUAGGGGAGCGGGAAGCGAGGAGCGUAGGGGAGCAUAGGA